GGGCAAUGGCGGGCGCCCCUCCCCCAGCCUCGCUGCCGCCUUGCAGUUUGAUCUCAGACUGCUGUGCUAGCAAUCCGCGAGACUCCGUGGGGUAGGACCCUCCGAGCCAGGUGCGGCAUAUAAUCUCGUGGUGCGCCGUUUUUUAAGCCCGUGGGGAAAGCGCAGUGUUCUGGUGGGAGUGACCCGAUUUUCCAGGUGCCGUCCGUCACCCCUUUCUUUGACUAGGAAAGGGAACUCCCUGACCCUUGCUCUUCCCGAGUGAGGCAAUGCCUCGCCCUGCUUCGGCUCGCGCAGGGUGCGCGCACCCACUGACCUGCGCCCACUGUCUGGCACUCCCUAGUGAGAUGAACCCGGUACCUCAGAUGGAAAUGCAGAAAUCAACCAUCUUCUGUGUCGCUCACGCUGGGAGCUGUAGACCGGAGCUGUUCCUAUUUGGCCAUCUUGGCUCCUUCCUCAUCCUUAUUCAAUUCUUGAACGGGCCAUCACCGUCUUCAUAAAGAGAGCCAGUGACAAGUCCUGCCCUGGGACCUAGGAAAGACCCAAGAAGCCAGGAUUAUCCAGAACCCCAGAUCUGCUGACUCCUCCAUGUCCCCCGCCAAGGCUGGAGAAAGGCAGAACACUAACCUGAGACAGGUUCCACACAAAAAUAACUGAAGAUGGGCCUCCAGUCUUACGACGCCACAAAGUGCCCUGACACCACUGAACACGAAAACUCAUUGCAGAGGCUCCCAACUUGAACUUGCUAUCUACUGCUGGGAACAAGAUGUCUGGGCAUGUAUGGAGGAUCAGAAUGAUGGAUGAGCCACGAUCUGUUGGGAAAGUGGCUCCACAGUGUCUGGGGACGACGUGUCCCCCAGCAAACCAGCCUGUUAAGAACUUGGUCCAGGAACACCACUGUCAUGCCAUCAGGGUAAGGGCUUUGACGUCCAGGUGCUAGGUAGAGCCAGGACUGCAAGUUGAAAGGCUUUCACUCAAGGUCUCCUUCAGGAUUGGGAGCACAAGGCAACCUUGCUCUAUGACCAACAGAAAAGAGAAACCCAAAGGCUGCAGGGAAGCCCACCCCGGCAGCUACAGAGCACUUGCACCUGAAGUCUGUGAGUAGAAUUUCGGAGGUCUGCAAACUUAGAUGGGAAAAAUUAUAUUCAUAUUUUUACUAAUUGCAGCCUUAAAUUUGCAUUUCAUUCUAUUGUGACAUGGGAAACAAAUCUCAGUAUUAUAUGCAGUAUCUAUUUAUCUAUCUAUCUAUCUAUCACCUAUCAUGUAUCUAUCCAUCUCUAUCUAAUUAUCAUCUAUCUAUAUAUCUAUCUCUAAUCUAGUUUACCAUCUAUCAUGUAUUUAUCAUCUAUCUCUAAUCUAUCAUCUAAUCUAAUCUAAUCUAUCAUCUCUAUCAUUCAUCUAUCUAUAUUUUCUAUCUAUAUCCAUCCAUCCAUUUAUAUCUAUCAAUUAUCUGUCUAUUCUCAUCAUGUAUUUGUCUAUCCAUCUAUCUUUCUAAUCUAUCAUUUACCUAUCUAUCCAUCCAUUUACAUCUAUCUAUUUACCUAUAUGUCUAUCAAUCAAUCAAUUAUCUAUCUAUUCCCAUCAUGUAGCUAUCUAUCCAUCUAUCUCUCUAAUCUAUCUAUCAUCUUUCUAUAUCUAUCUCAAUCCAUCCAUCCAUCCAUCCAUUCAUCUAUAUCUAUCAUCUAUAUCUAUCUAUCAUCUAUAUCUAGCUAUCUAUCCUUCUAUCUCUCUAAUCUAUCUAUCAUCUUUCUAUAUCUAUCUCAAUCCAUCCAUCCAUCAAUCCAUUCAUCUAUAUCUAUCUAUCAUCUAUAUCUAUCUAUCAUCUAUAUCUAUCUAUCUAUCUGUAUCUCUCUAUCUAUCUAUUUAUCUUUAUGGUUUUAUUCCUAAUUGAAAACACAGGUGCAUCUCUAUCACAUUACAACAGUUAUAGAUACUUCAAAAUAUUUGCGUUCAUUGUUACUUUAAAGUUAUGGUAGAUAUGACACUCAAAGAAAGAUCUCCUAUAAUGUGUUAAUAAAGAUGCAUGGGUACC
rnacentral:lncRNA from 1 species